rnacentral:lncRNA from 1 species
CCAGCUGGUGACCAUGUUGUCACGUCGGUAUCAUACUGGUUACGAAACUUGUUUGAUUUCUAAUUGGAUUUAGAUAGUGUGUUUUGGUGGUAGAUAGUGAAAUGUGUUACUCAAGUAAACUGAAAUGAAGAAAAUCAAAGAGUUUAGUGGUUUUGUCACAAAAUUUGGGAAAGUCUAGAGCAUCCAACUGAGACCGAAAUUGAGAGGUAUCAUCCUGUUAUACAAAUGACAGUUCAAAAAUGAGUAUAUACAUACCAUUACAAACAACAAUCAUCAUUCCUAUAAGCAUCACAAAACCUAUAAUUGGGUUUGUUAGUAACACAAUUGAUACAGGAAUAUUAAUAAUGCAACACCACCUCAUUAUUAUCAAUGAAAACUUCUAUGUGAGAUUUUGGCCAGUAACACAAUUUCCCCUCAAACCAAAAGAAAAGAUAAACCCUAAAAUCCCCUAAACCACAAGAAUCAAAUUCAUCAAUAGAAUUUCCAAAGCAAACAAGAAUAAAAAAAAUUUUAAAAAAAAAAACAGGCUUAGAAAUUGAUGGUCGUGAAAGUAGGACUUACAGGAAGAACGAGAUCAUAGGGUGCAAAGAAGACCUUGAAGCUUUGUAUCCCACGCGUGAAUGCGAAAACGAGAGGGAAAAACAAUUUAGGGU